GAGUGAGUGUGUGUGUGUGUGUGUGUGUGCGCGCACACCAUGCACUUGCACAUGUGCACAAG
rnacentral:miRNA from 1 species